UAGAGCACUGUUUCGGCUAGGGGGCCAUCCCGGCUUACCAACCCGAUGCAAACUGCGAAUACCGAAGAAUGUUAUCACGGGAGACACACGGCGGGUGCUAACGUCCGUCGUGAAGAGGGAAACAACCCAGACCGCCAGCUAAGGUCCCAAAAUAUUGCUAAGUGGGAAACGAAGUGGGAAGGCUAAGACAGCUAGGAGGUUGGCUUAGAAGCAGCCACCCUUUAAAGAAAGCGUAAUAGCUCACUAGUCGAGUCGGCCUGCGCGGAAGAUGUAACGGGGCUCAAACCAUGCACCGAAGCUACGGGUAUCACCUUUGGGUGAUGCGGUAGAGGAGCGUUCUGUAAGCCUGUGAAGGUGAGUUGAGAAGCUUGCUGGAGGUAUCAGAAGUGCGAAUGCUGACAUGAGUAGCGUUAAAGCGGGUGAAAAGCCCGCUCGCCGUAAGCGCAAGGUUUCCUACGCCACGUUCAUCGGCGUAGGGUGAGUCGGCCCCUAAGGCGAGGGCGAAAGCCGUAGCUGAUGGGAAGCUGGUUAAUAUUCCAGCACCGUCUCUGAGUGCGAUGGGGGGACGGAUCGUGGAAGGUUGUCCGGGUGUUGGAAGUCCCGGUUCUUGGCCUGUAGGUGUCCGGUAGGCAAAUCCGCCGGGCGUAUGCCGAGGGGUUGAGACGAGCGAGCUUGCUCGCGAAGCAAUUGGAAGUGGUCCCAGGAAAAGCCUCUAAGCUUCAGCUCAGAGAGACCGUACCGCAAACCGACACUGGUGCGCGAGAUGAGUAUUCUAAGGCGCUUGAGAGAACUCUGGAGAAGGAACUCGGC
rnacentral:rRNA from 14 species